GGCGGUUCUCCGGUGACACACCCUGGAAUCGGGCUCCCUCCUCUCUGGUUCCGGGUGCGUCACCCGAGAACCACA
rfam:Myotis lucifugus cont2.21752, whole genome shotgun sequence.